GCAGCGGAGCAUGUGGUUUAAUUCGAAGCAACACGUAAGAACCUUACCAGGUCUUGACAUCCUCUGACAAUCUGAGAGAUCAGACUUUCCCUUCGGGGACAGAGAGACAGGUGGUGCAUGGUUGUCGUCAGCUCGUGUCGUGAGAUGUUGGGUUAAGUCCCGCAACGAGCGCAACCCCUGUGGUUAGUUGCCAUCAUUUAGUUGGGCACUCUAAGCAGACUGCCGGGGAUAACACGGAGGAAGGUGGGGACGACGUCAAAUCAUCAUGCCCCUUAUGACCUGGGCUACACACGUGCUACAAUGGUCUGAACAGAGGGCUGCGAAACCGCGAGGUGAAGCUAAUCCCUUAAAACAGAUCUCAGUUCGGAUUGCAGGCUGCAACUCGCCUGCAUGAAGUUGGAGUUGCUAGUAAUCGCAAAUCAGAAUGCUGCGGUGAAUGCGUUCCCGGGUCUU
rnacentral:rRNA from 1 species